GAGGGUAUAGCUCAAGUGGUAGAGCACAUGCUUAGCAUACACAAAGCCCUGGGUUCAAUCCCCAGUACCUCCU
rnacentral:tRNA from 1 species